rnacentral:rRNA from 1 species
UACGUAGGGGGCUAGCGUUGUCCGGAAUCAUUGGGCGUAAAGCGCGUGUAGGCGGCCCGGUAAGUCCGCUGUGAAAGUCGGGGGCUCAACCCUCGGAUGCCGGUGGAUACUGUCGGGCUAGAGUACGGAAGAGGCGAGUGGAAUUCCUGGUGUAGCGGUGAAAUGCGCAGAUAUCAGGAGGAACACCCGUGGCGAAAGCGGCUCUCUGGGACGGUACUGACGCUGAGACGCGAAAGCGUGGGGAGCGAACAGG